GCACACAUAUAUACACAUGGAUGUACAUAUACACAUUUAUGUACAUACUCAUAGUUGUAUAUUUGCACACAUACAUAUGCAGAGAUGUGUAAUACACAUUUACAUGCACAUACAUGCACAAUACAUAUUUACAUACACAUUUAUGUAUACACUUUUACAUAUAUACAUGUACACAAUAUAUGCAUACACGUAGAUGUACACACACAUAUAUACACACAUAUACGUACGCAUGUGUAGCCAUGGUAGUCAGCUAAGAGACACACUGCUAGACAGCCUGCAAGGACUUUUCUGAUCAUGCUCUUUGAAGAGGAUGGCCCACCCUAAGUAUGGGCGGCCUCUCAUUGCCAGCCUAGAGAAAGAGAGUUCCUCUGGAAAACGUUCUGGUUUUGGCCUCAUUGCCAUACUAUCUUGCUGGUGAGUUCAUCUACCCCAUCGCUGCCACUGUUGCCACUGCUGUGGCAGCAGUGACAUCUCUUCACUGAUGUCAGAACUAAAUCCAUUGCAUUCUCAUGUGCGCUGAAAACCAGGGCUCUCCAGGAAUCUCCCAGGCCUUCAGCACAGGUUGGGACAACCGAGUCAUCCAGUUUGUGGGCCGAGCGGCUACUGAGUUCUCAGCUUCUUGUCCAGUAUGCAGACAGCUACUGUUACAGCCAAGACCACAUCGUGACUGGAGACUCCAGCUGCUGUGGAAAUUCUAACGCUCUCCAAAGAGCCCCUACUGCAUCAGAGAUCACCAAGCUGCAGGUACAGACUGUGCUUCCUGUCACUGCCACAGCAUCUGUGCACUGCAAUCCCAGGACCUCGGAGACUGUGCGAGAAACCUUGAAGAAUUUUUAAGUUGUUGGACUUUUUGUCCUUUCAUUUAACGUCAAGGCAGCAGGCGAGCUGCCUGUGAAAGUUGCUGUGGUCAUCGUGUCUCUUCUCAGCAAUAGCAACCCUAACUGAGAUAUAUUCCACGGGCUGGAAUCCUGGACUAAAUAUAAAGGAAAAGUGAGUUGAGCAGCAGCGCCUCUCUGCUUCCUGCCUGUGGAUGCCUCAAGCUUCUGACACCAUGACUUCCCUUCUGGGAGGGAUGUACCCUGGAACUGUGAGGUCAAACAAGCCCUUGCUUCAUUUUCAGUUGCUUUGGUAGGCAUCUUAAUCACACCGAUGGGGAAUGUCAGCCAAUUCUUUCUUUUCCCUCAAAA